GACGAACGCUGGCGGCGUGCCUAAUACAUGCAAGUAGGACGCAGUUGCGAACGGGUGAGUAACGCGUAGGUAACUACCUAUUAGAGGGGGAUAACUAUUGGAAACGAUAGCUAAUACCGCAUACUUGUAGAUGGACCUGCGUUGUAUUAGCUAGUAGGUAGGGUAAUGGCCUACCUUGGUAACGAUACAUAGCCGGCCCGGAGGGGGUGUCGGGCAAAAUGGGAAUGGAGCAACGCCCAGACUCCGACGGGAGGCAACAGGAGGGAAACUUCGGGAAAGGGGGAAACCCUGACCGGGCAACGCCGGGGGAGUGAAGAAGGUUUUCGGAGCGUAAAACUCUUUUGAUAAGGGAGCGGUACUUAACCAGAAAGGGACGGCUAACUACGUGCCAGCCGCCGCGGUAAUUC
rnacentral:rRNA from 1 species